UUGAGUAACUGUACUUGUGAGCUGCUGUAGGUCAGUCAGUUUCUAUUCUAGCACACUGAUGGUAUUUGGUAGCCAGACUAAUCACAGCUGUAGCAGAUCAUAAUUCCUAAAACUUAAAAAUGAAACAUUGAUCUAAGUAUAUUUAAUGCUGGGCUGCACAGUGGCUUGGUGGUUAGCACUUUCGUCUUGCAGCUAGGAGGUCCCCGGUUAGUGUCACGACCUGGGCCUGGGAUCUUUCUGCAUGGAGUUUACAUGUUCUCCCUGUGCACGUGAGGGUUUUCCCCAGGUUCUCCGGCUUCCUCCAACAGUCCAAAAACAUGUGUCCCUGAUCCCAGAGCUGGAUGCUUCAGAUCUGUGGUUGUUCUCCCACCAACUGGUCUAGUCUCCAUCUGUGGGAUGCUGCUGCUGACCUUCCUCCAGCCCACUGCUUCCAGCUGCCCAUUCCCACCAAUCUACUCUGCAUCACCUUCACUAUACUUGAUUUGCUCAUCUACAUAUUUUUGAAUUUACCACCAGCUAUAAUGUAGUAUAUUUAAUGUCAGAGCCGUACACCAUAGCAGUAAACUAUAGCUAGUUUCCAUGUUAGUUGUACUUUGCAUGUAUCAUCUGUCUUAUCAUGCAUGGAUCAAAUUGUGUGUUUUAUGGUCCUUGUUGGGGUGUAUAGAUAAUGGAUGGAUAGAACAAAUAUCAUAAAUGAUUGAUAAGUUAGAUAAAUAAAAUCAUAAUAAUGAAAAUGGAAUAAUUCCAAUAAGAAAAUAAUAAUAGGACCUUUCUGUUAAAUAAAGUUAUAAUAAUAUAACUCCAGGAUCAGAUGCACUGCACAAUGUAUAUCCUAAACUGCAAUGUUUCAAACUGUGAUUUUGCAUUAAAGUCGAGUAAUUGCUCAGUCCUAAUGAGGACUCGCAUAUAAUGAGCUUUUCUGUGUAACCCUCAAUUGAUUUAAAAAAAAAAUCAGGAACAGCUGUUCCAAGUUAUGACUUUUUAAUUGUUGAUAUUAUAAUUUAAAUUGCAUUAGUGUUAGGCUAUCAUUCCAUUUCUACAAUUAUGUGUGUAGCCGUGCAAUGAGCUUCUCAGUUGGGUCUAUGGGGUGGCUAGAGGGUUUAGCCAGAGGGUUUAGACAGUGGCCACCCCUUAGCUCCUUGGCUGCAAAACCUGCUGGUUUCACAAUUGCUUUGUGUCCAGAUUACCAACAAGACUUGGUGUGUUAAUUAGACAGUAAUAAAAAUAGUUAAUUAGAUUUUUGUGCCUUUGAGCAGAUCUAUGUUCGCUUGUUCCCCACGUCUUUAGUCUUUAUGUCAAGCUAAGCUCGCUGCCUCCAGGCUAUAGAUUAUCGAUAUCGAGUUCAAGACUUCAGAGUGGUAUCAAUCUUUUAAUAGAAUUCUUAACACGACAGCAAAUUUGUGUAUUUCUGAAAAUGUCAUAUUCCUUUAAUGGUGACCAAAUUACCUGAUUGCAUCAUGCAUGGAUCUAUCAAGGUUGUGUGCUAUGCAAUGACGUUUAUUUCUAAAGAGUAAAUACUGAACUAGUUACUAAAUUACUGUAUAUCAUUGAUUCUGCAGCAGAAUAUUGAGUGAAAGAAGAAUGGACAAUGUAGCAUAAUGUUGAAAAUGUAUUCGGAUGCUGUCUAAUUAAACACAUUUAAUGAAUUUCUUA